AGCGAACGCUGGCGGCAGGCCUAACACAUGCAAGUCGAGCGCCCCGCAAGGGGAGCGGCAGACGGGAGAGUAACACGUGGGAACAUGCCCUUCAGUACGGAACAACCAAGGGAAACUUUGGCUAAUACCGUAUACGCCCGUAAGGGGAAAGAUUUAUCGCUGAAGGAUUGGCCCGCGUCUGAUUAGCUAGUUGGUGGGGUAAUGGCUCACCAAGGCGACGAUCAGUAGCUGGUCUGAGAGGAUGAUCAGCCUCACUGGGACUGAGACACGGCCCAGACUCCUACGGGAGGCAGCAGUGGGGAAUAUUGGACAAUGGGCGCAAGCCUGAUCCAGCCAUGCCGCGUGAGUGAUGAAGGCCUUAGGGUUGUAAAGCUCUUUCGUCAGGGAAGAUAAUGACGGUACCUGAAGAAGAAGCCCCGGCUAACUUCGUGCCAGCAGCCGCCGCAGUAA
rnacentral:rRNA from 1 species